ACCAAAUUGUUCAACCAGUAUCAUUGGCUGUCUAUAACUCUCCAACUUAUAGACGGUCUCUCUAAUCUGGAAGAGAAAUCCUCGAACAACUUAAGUUCUGCUAUAGAAUGAAAGAAUUUUGCUCAAAAAGGCGAAGUUCCCACAUUAUCUAGCCCUAUUGUCGUUCAAACAUUA
rnacentral:snoRNA from 1 species